rnacentral:rRNA from 1 species
UGGGGAAUAUUGCACAAUGGGCGCAAGCCUGAUGCAGCCAUGCCGCGUGUGUGAAGAAGGCCUUCGGGUUGUAAAGCACUUUCAGCGGGGAGGAAGGCGUUAAGGUUAAUAACCUUGGCGAUUGACGUUACCGCAGAAGAAGCACCGGCCAACCCCGUGCCAGCAGCCGCGGUAAUACGGAGGGUGCAAGCGUUAAUCGGAAUUACUGGGCGUAAAGCGCACGCAGGCGGUCUGUCAAGUCGGAUGUGAAAUCCCCGGGCUCAACCUGGGAACUGCAUUCGAAACUGGCAGGCUAGAGUCUCGUAGAGGGGGGUAGAAUUCCAGGUGUAGCGGUGAAAUGCGUAGAGAUCUGGAGGAAUACCGGUGGCGAAGGCGGCCCCCUGGACAAAGACUGACGCUCAGGUGCGAAAGCGUGGGGAGCAAACAGG